rnacentral:rRNA from 1 species
CGGUGUUUAACUGGCGUGAUGUGGGACGUCCUACCGGUGGGCUUAGCCUCGCGAGGGGCGGCCCAACUAAUAUCCCGUCGCGGUGCUCUUUACUGAGUGUCGAGUCGGGCCGGUACGUUUACUUUGAACAAAUUAGAGUGCUUAAAGCAGGCUAUCCUCGCCUGAAUACUGCGUGCAUGGAAUAAUGGAAUAGGACCUCGGUUCUAUUUUGUUGGUUUUCGGAACCCCGAGGUAGUGAUUAAUAGGGACAGAUGGGGGCAUUCGUAUUGCGACGUUAGAGGUGAAAUUCUUGGAUCGUCGCAAGACGGACAGAAGCGAAAGCAUUUGCCAAAAAUGUUUUCAUUAAUCAAGAACGAAAGUUAGAGGUUCGAAGGCGAUCAGAUACCGCCCUAGUUCUAACCAUAAACGAUGCCAGCUAGCGAUCCGCCGAAGUUCCUCCGAUGACUCGGCGGGCAGCUUCCGGGAAACCAAAGCUUUUGGGUUCCGGGGGAAGUAUGGUUGCAAAGCUGAAACUUAAAGGAAUUGACGGAAGGGCACCACCAGGAGUGGAGCCUGCGGCUUAAUUUGACUCAACACGGGAAACCUCACCAGGCCCAGACACCGGAAGGAUUGACAGAUUGAUAGCUCUUUCUUGAUUCGGUGGGUGGUGGUGCAUGGCCGUUCUUAGUUGGUGGAGCGAUUUGUCUGGUUAAUUCCGAUAACGAACGAGACUCUAGCCUGCUAAAUAGGCGUACCUUAUGGUAUCGCGAAGGCCCCCGGCUUCGGCCGGUGGGUUUUUACUACCAACGUACAAACAAAUCUUCUUAGAGGGACAGGCGG